rnacentral:rRNA from 1 species
GCGCAGCAGUCGCGAAACCUCCGCAAUACACGAAAGUGUGACGGGGCCAUCCCGAGUGCCGUCCGCUGAGGACGGCUUUUCCCCAGUGUACACAGCUGGGGGAAUAAGGAGAGGGCAAGCCUGGUGUCAGCCGCCGCGGUAAUACCAGCUCUCCGAGUGGUGGGGACGCUUAUUGGGCCUAAAGCAUCCGUAGCCGGCUGGGCAAGUCCUCCGUUAAAUCCAACGAUUCAAUCGUUGGGCUGCGGGGGAUACUGUCCAGCUUGGGGGCGGGAGAGGCCGACGGUAUUCCCGGGGUAGGGGUGAAAUCCUAUAAUCCCGGGAGGACCGACCAGUGGCGAAGGCUGUCGGCUAGAACGCGCCCGACGGUGAGGGAUGAAAGCUGGGGGAGCGAACCGGAUUAGAUACCCGGGUAGU